UACGUAGGGUGCGAGCGUUGUCCGGAAUUACUGGGCGUAAAGGGCUCGUAGGCGGCCAACUAAGUCAGACGUGAAAUCCCUCGGCUCAACCGGGGAACUGCGUCUGAUACUGGAUGGCUUGAGUUCGGGAGAGGGAUGCGGAAUUCCAGGUGUAGCGGUGAAAUGCGUAGAUAUCUGGAGGAACACCGGUGGCGAAGGCGGCAUCCUGGACCGACACUGACGCUGAGGAGCGAAAGCCAGGGGAGCAAACGGG
rnacentral:rRNA from 1 species